rnacentral:rRNA from 1 species
UACGGAGGAUGCAAGCGUUAUCCGGAAUGAUUGGGCGUAAAGCGUCCGCAGGUGGCAGUGUAAGUCUGCUGUCAAAGAGUCACGCUUAACGUGAUAAAGGCAGUGGAAACUACACAGCUAGAGUACGGUCGGGGCAGAAGGAAUUCCUGGUGUAGCGGUGAAAUGCGUAGAGAUCAGGAAGAACACCGGUGGCGAAAGCGUUCUGCUAGUCCUGUACUGACACUGAGGGACGAAAGCUAGGGGAG